UUUUUUUUUUUUUGUCUUUUUUGUCUUUUCUAGGGCCGCUCUCACAGCAUAUGGAGGUUCCCAGGCUAGGGGUCUAAUCGGAGCUGUAGCCGCCGGCCUACACCAGAGCCACAGCAACAUGGGAUCCGAGCCACAUCUGUGACCUACACCACAGCUCAUGGCAACGCCAGGUCCUUAACCCACUGCGCAAGGGCAGGGAUCGAACCCGCAACCUCAUGGUUCCUAGUCGGAUUCGGUAACCACUGCACCACAAGGAGAACUCCCACAUAUUCCUACUUUUAAAACAGAUCAUGCUAUAACUGAAAUACUUAAGAUCUUUCACUUUAAGAUCCUUUAUGUUAUACUCUAAGUGGCUGGCACUGUGCUAGAUACAAAUUAGAUACCAAGUACAUAAAGUUAAUUAAACUAACAGGGGACAUACAUUUUUUUGGAUGAGCGAUACAGGAUUCAAAAAUCUUUAGAUUAGCAUAGACCAAAAAUUACUUUAAGUUAUAGAAAAUUCUGUGCAGUUCUGGUAACACUAAAUUAUUGAAGACAAUAAUGUAGACAAAUAUUAAGUAUUUAUAAAAGAUACCACAUUUAACAUGUCCAGUGCAUUUCUCCCAAAAUUCCUUUGACCCUUGUAACAGUUUAAUGUUUGGCUAACGAGACUUUCAACAGUCAGCCUCUGCAUCUCUAAAGGAGGGUGGUAUCUGUAGGACUGCCAAAAGUAGUCUUACCUAGCCAAUGACAAAUAUGGUGCUAUAUAUAUCCCAGUUCCUUUGCUUCUUAGCAGGGUAAUUCGGAGCCCUGUGUUUCAUGCUAUUUUUCAAUGUUUCUCCAUGCAGUUACCUGACUAUGGGAGGCAGUUUAAGAGCCCCCAUGUGUUUUCUAUCUUUCCUUCCCUAUAGCAAUUCCCCUUUCCCAUGCCCGUGAUCUCUGACCUCCAAUCAUUUAUUGCACUCAGGUUAUUGAUGCAAGUCUGCUCUGAGAAGACAAACAGAUAACCAGAGCAACUCUUGAGAAAGCAACACUUAUUAUCUGCAAUUGAAAUUUCAGUAAGAUGUAAACUUCAUCUGACCUAAUUCUAUCCCUGUGUCAGACUGAGAAACAAAAUGUUCCAUAAAUAGGUCACUGCUUGUCACUUCUUAGUGUCAAUAGUUAGACGCAACAAGCAGGAUUUGUACCCUGUCACUGAAUCUUGUAGGUACUUAGGCUGGAGUCAUCACCUGGAAAUCAACACAGAAGAACCUAAGAAACCAAACUCUUUGUUGUUUAGUAUUAAUCAAGUAACAGAAAAUAGCUGCCUGGGGCUGCAAGCUUUUUCCUUACUCUCAUGAGAUAAUAUCAUGUGACUGCACAAGAAAAUGUGUUUGUAUCGGACGAUCAGGCUAUCUCUAAAGAUGGUCAGACUAAGGAACAAUACUCAACUCAUUUAUUUAUGUGUACCAAGUAGUAAGUUCUCAGACUGCAAGGGUACCAGCCACUAACAUUCAGAAUGGAGCAAUCUGUGUGACAGAAGUGAUAGGUUUCUUUAGCCAGUUCAAUGUGACACCCCCAUUUUUUUUCUCCCAUACUUUCUAGAGAGAGGUUUCUGUUUUCAAAUAUAGGAGGAAAAUAAAUUUGAGCGGCACGAUGGGGACUUUUACGCCCACUGGCUUCCCCUGCACGAAAUGUCCCUGCAGCCAGGCCACAUGGCCUCUUCAAGAAAUAGUUUUCCACCCCUAGCUUUACUCCCUGAAUUCAGGAUGCUCCAUGGGCAAGGAUAAGGAGAAAGGGCAACAGUGGGAGACACCAUUCUACACCCAGCCUUGGGCCCCAAGUGAUCUGGGUAGCUAAGGACCUCAACCUAACUCUCAUCCACACCACCCUGUCACUAGUCUGAGCUGACCCUCAGAAACUGACUGCCACCAUUUCCCUUCUUUUUUGGUCUUUUGUCUUUUUAUGGUUGUAUCCGCGGCAUAUGGAGAUUCCCAGGUGAGGGGUGGAAUCAGAGCUGUACCUGCCAGCCUACGCCUCAGCCACAGCAACACAGGAUCCAAGCCCCAUCUGUGACCUACACCACAGCUCACAGCAACACCAGAUUUUUAACCCACUGAGAGAGCCCAGGGAUCAAACUCGCAACUUCAUGAUUCCUAGCUGGAUCGUUUUCCACUGCACCAUGAUGGGAACUCCUGCUUUUCUGUUCCUCAUGCCAUGAGGGCCAGGUGCACUAGCACAGGUGGGUGAUCAAGAGGGAGGUUAGGUCAAGAGCCUAAGAGUAUGGUGUAGAGAAUUGUGUCAGUUACUUAGAGCAUCAGGUUCGUGUAAGUUUUAUAUUUAAGGCAAUUCAUAAUUAGCUUGAUGCCAGGCCCUGAAUAAGCAUUGGAUAAACGGUAAAUACUACCUUUUCCUGAAAUGCUUAGUAUGCUUUCUCAAGACUCAGCUAGGUCUGGUCAUGCAUUUAUUAUUAGCUAGUUCUGUCCUCACAUAAAUGUGAGGACACAAAAAUUUUCUUCAAAUAUUUGAUGAGCCUGAAAUAACUUCCGAUUUAAAAGAUGAUUAAUCAUUUCAUAAGCAUUGCUCUGAGAUGUAGAAAUUAUAGGUAUGCAGAUUUAAUCCCAAGAACUUGCAUUAAUUUCCCCAUAGAGAAAUAUCGUCUACGACAUAAUGAGUUUCUAAGCACUGGAAAUGUUUAAAUGAGGCCAAAUGAUUAUCUUCAGAAAGAGAUUAGAUUCAUGAUCUCCAAGGUUACUUCUAGUCUGAGGUUUUAUGAAUUAGGAUUAAGCGCUUCCAAUUUAUUCCCUUUUGGAAUAGAAUUUAACCCUCCUCCCAUCUACCAUGGUCAAAGGAAUCCUUUCCACUGGAAAAGGGGGUUUUUCAAAAGCCAUAAAAAUUAGAACCCAAGUAAAAAGUCUUUCUUUAACUUGACCUGAAUACUCAGAUACCCAACCGUUUGUACCCAAUAAUUAAUGAGAUGUUCUUUUUAAAAAGAUAAACCUUAUCUCUAUACCUGGGCACUAUAGGUCUAAAGGUUAUGAAAACACACGGCUACAAAAAUCCUGUGCAACCUUGUGUUUGAGCUAAAUCCUGUCUCACACACUUACCUGAUAGCAUCUUUCUGUUCAGAAGCUCACACAAAGCAGACAAAUGGCAGGGUCAAUUCAGGAGAAGUGAUUUAGAAGGAAGGGAUGAAGCAGUCCCUGUCAGAUGUCAUUCAACUCCCACGAAAACCUUCAGGUCUAGUUCUCCCAGUGGAAACACAUCAGAUGUUUUCCAUUAAUUUAGUAUCAUACAGAGAAAGAUGCUACAUAUUCAUUUUGGUUCCUGCCAAACUAGCUCUGCAGUGUGCUAUGUUGGAUGCCGUAACGGAGUGUUUUCCUUUGCAGGUUAUUUUGAUUCUCAGGAACAUUUUUGUACCCACCUCUAUAGGAAGGAGCAGUAAUUCUCAUCUGCCUAUCAGGAUUUAUUCCUCUUUCAUAGGAGAAAAUAAAUAUUUCCAAAAUAAUCACUUCGAAGGGCUUGAUGUUAAAAAGUAAAGCAAAAAUUGGCAGUUUCAAGAACGGACUUCAAAAGCAUCACCAAUAAAAUGCACCGAAUUUCUUCCCAUGCAUUUGACUUCAAACUUGGAGCAAAAGAUAAACAUGAAAUGCAUUUUCUCUCUUUAUGCUUAGCUUAUUUAUAUGGAUUAAUUUUGAUGAACAGAUUAAAUUUUUCUCUGAGUUUUAUCUUGUCUAUUUUUUGAGCUUAGAGCUUACUUCAGUCAGAGUUUAGAGAUGUAGAUUCUGAUUGUCCUCAGUCCUAGAACAAAUUAUAGUAGGUACUUAUGAGUAGUCAGGGAAAACACAGAAAGCUGCCUUUUCACUUGGCUCAUUUGCUGCUCUCUCAUUCAUCCUGGUUUGAGUGUAUCAGUCUGGUUUUUGCCCUUUUUAUAGCAAUUUCAUAAGCAACCCUACUUAUUACGAUAAACCUCUAUGGCAAUUUGUAUGUAUAAGAGAAAAAAUGCAUCAUCAGACUUCUAUUAUUAAAUCGAACAGAUUUAAAUAUCAUUACAAGGAAGACAAUGGUAUAAACGCAGUUUGAUUGAGGUAAUUGUAUGGAUGAACCUAAAAUAGUUAUUCUUGAGAAAAUGAACCUCUCACUUCAGAUGGAGUUGAUUAUCUUGUUCAGGAUAGUUGGUGUUCCUGUCUUUGAUGGAGCUGAUCACAAGCCUGUCAGAGGGUAAGUGCUUGGUGACUGCAUUAUCCAGCCAAGUAGACAAACUCUUGAAGUUUCUCAUGUAGGAAUAGUUUAGUUUCCUACUUUCCAAUCCUGAAGCUAUCACUCACUGGUACAGAAAAUAAGACUCUUAAAACAGAUCUGUUUAAUUAUACAAUCUACUUUCACAUAUACCAUCUCUGAUAAAUGCAUAUUCAGUCCAAAAUGGGUGUCAGUUACUGAUACCCCUUCCAAUUUCCUAAUACCUAUAAAAAUCACUGAGAGAGAUCAAAUUCCUAACACUGGGAGUAAAGCUAGUAAAAAUUUAGAAGAAAGAGCUACAAAAUCUAUGGAGUGGGUUUGUAUUAACUAUUGGCAACUGAUACAGGCUUCCCCAGCAGAAAGCAAACUGAUUUACCAGGUCAAAAAGAAACCAUGGAGAUUCUUUUGCCAGUCUCCUAACUCAGUAAGCCAGCCCUGUACCACUCAGAUUAGACAGGGCCCCACAGCUAAGAGGUGGGUGGAGGAUAAUCUAUAGAAAUCUUUUAUAGUCAUGGGACAGUUUCAUCAACCACCUAAUAAUGAAACAGGAAGAAAAGGGAGGAAGGGGCAGGUCCCCUUCUACAUGGGCAGGUUUGAUUCCUAUAUAGCAUGGUCAAAAAAUUGCCAAGAGGGAGUUCCUACUGUGGCUCAGCAGUAAGGAAACCAACUAGUAUCCAUUAGGAUGUGCGUUUGAUCCCUGGCCUCGCUCAGUGGGUUAAGGAUCCGGUAUUGAAGUGAGCUAUGGUGUAGGUCCAAGAUGUGGCUUGGGUGUGGUAUUGUGGCUGUGGUGUAGGCUGGUAGCUGUAGCUGAAAUCUGACCCCUAGCCUGGAAAGGUCCAUAUGCUGUGGGCACAGCC
rnacentral:lncRNA from 1 species